rnacentral:rRNA from 1 species
UACAGAGGGUGCAAGCGUUAAUCGGAAUUACUGGGCGUAAAGCGCGCGUAGGUGGUUUGUUAAGUUGAAUGUGAAAUCCCCGGGCUCAACCUGGGAACUGCAUGCAAAACUGGCAAGCUAGAGUAUGGUAGAGGGUGGUGGAAUUUCCUGUGUAGCGGUGAAAUGCGUAGAUAUAGGAAGGAACACCAGUGGCGAAGGCGACCACCUGGACUGAUACUGACACUGAGGUGCCGAAAGCGUUGGGGAGCAAACAGG